rnacentral:rRNA from 1 species
CAUCUAGCAUGUGCGCAAGUCAUUGGGUAUUUAUAAUAAACCUAAAGGCGUAAUGAAAGUAAAUAUAUAUAUAAUUUUUAUAAUUAUAUUUUAUAAAGGGAAGAUGGGUAACGUUAUUUAUGUUACCUCGCAUUCCCGGGGCGUCGCAUACUUAUUGCAAGUUGCGGCGCACCAAGAGCGUACACGCUGGGACCCGAAAGAUGGUGAACUAUGCCUGGUCAGGAUGAAGUCAGGGGAAACCCUGAUGGAGGUCCGUAGCGAUUCUGACGUGCAAAUCGAUCGUAUGAACUGGGUAUAGGGGCGAAAGACUAAUCGAACCA